GAUGGAAAUAUACGAGUGUGCGUGGA
rnacentral:sRNA from 1 species